CCAGGGCAGGACAGCCCUUCUGGGAAAGAAAUGUUUCCUAAUAUGUUACCAGAACCUCUCCUGGCACAACUUGAGGCCAUUUCCUCUUGUCCUAAGCCAUCAUGUUUGGUUUGUGUGACAGCUGUGCACUCCAUCUGUUCCUGCAGAUGUGUCCACAGCCUGUUUGGGGUCUCAGGGUGAGGGUUGAGUGAAGAGCAAUGAUUUCUCCACCCCUUUGAGUUCCUUUGGGCUGUGCCAGGUGAUGUCUCGCCCGGUGCCUCAUGUAAAUACAGGCACAGAACAGAUGGAGGAGGUUGCCUGCUCUGAUUGAGCACAGAGCUCUGUUGUGGUGCCUGUUGCUAUAAACAUGCUGGCGAUUUGCACAAGUAUGUGGCAUUGUAAAAGCUCCUGAAAGAUUUUAUCUGAUUGAUUUUGGCUCAAAGCCCUUUAUUCACACAGAUAUGCCAGGUAGAAAGACAAUACAUGUGUAUCCAUGUGUAUAUUUUCAGCUUCCUAAAGACCAUCAAAUUUGAAAGGGAGUAGGUCUGCUUUACUGAAGAGUUGAAGAGAAGGUAACCCAGGAAAAGCCUUUCCUCUUAAAAAAAUACAAAUUGUAAAUGUUGCUUCUCCCUGUAUAGAUUGUCUGAGAGAUCUGUAACAAUCUCUUGUUGAGCUAUUUUGACUUUAAAAUAUUAGUUCAUAACAAAUCUUGAGUUGUCAGAACUAAAGUAUUGUACGAAAUAGCUUCAAGGUUACAUAAACAGAGUAGCUGGGAAACAAUUGGGUAACACAUGUUCAUCCAGACAGCAAAGAUGUUUAUUUUUUAAAGCAAUUUUCCACCUGAAUACUGUCCCUCUUUGUUUUGGGAAAUAUUGAUUUAAUGGGUUCAAAAUACUUUGUGUCAUGGAAAGGAGGGUAAAUGGCAGAGGAGGGAGGAGAGGAGCUGUUGCAGCAAUUGCCAAAGGUGUGUUUAAGGAGGUUUUUAAUGAGAAGUAACUGGGGAUGGGUGGGAGCUGGGAAGGACAAGGGAUAUAAAUUAGGGUGUGCUCGGACUGGGGUGAAAUAAUUGGGAAAAAUCAAGCAGAGAAGGAAAUCUUACUGCACCAGGGCAUAUGCCAGAGCAAGCUGCCCCUCUCCCCAGAUGUGCAUGUUUUCCUGCUAAAGUGACUGCGAUCAAAAAUAGGAGGUGCCUCUCACAGUGCCCCUUCUCAGCCAAGGCUCCAGCCGCUUUCUUUCUUCAUUAUUUUUGGGACAUUUUUUUCCCUAGCUGCAAAUCUGCAUUCAUUAAAUCAAUGUCAGCACAGCUUCCUAGAUGCUUACAGGACUUGUGUAUUCACACUGACCCUAAUUCAGCAAAACACUUAAGCACAUGUCUGACUUUGAGCAACCGAACAGGGCUCUGAGUAAUUAAAGCUAAACAUAAAUUGGUGUCUUGUUUAUUGAGGGCCUACUCAACUAAUUAGUUAAACCUUCCAUGAAAAGUCACCAAGAUCCUUAAUGUAGCAAUGUUCCACAAACAGCUGCUGUGGGACUCUGCCCAGGUCACAUUAUCUUGUUUGCAGUUUAGAUGCCUGAAAUAUCUUUUUUUUUCUUUCAUGUGUCUGGAGUUUUGUGCUCAUGAGUGCUCCCUCCUUUUCCAGUGAGGUACACUAAAGCCACCAAACAUUAAUUGAUUUAAAUCCACAUGGUACCUACCAGGUAGAUGUGGUAAAUCACAGUUGUCAGGUAAUUAAACACCCAUAAAUCACAUUGGAGCAUGUGAACUAAGCAUUCAGUGUCAAUGCUUUUUAAUUAAUGUUGUAAAACAAUAUUUUGGGCAUAGAUUAGGUGUAUGGGGCAGGUAACAUAUCAAAUUAUGGCUAAUAAAGCAUGAGCAGUAGGAAUGGCACUAGGAACCAGUAGCCUCUGUGAUCUCAAAUACCCUAACUGCACCCCUACAAGUGACCCUGCCUUGGAAGGCGGAAUGCAAAGUUAUUGCAGGGGGAUUAAAACUGGGCAUUAGACUCUCAUUGCUCUUGUAAUGCUGGAUUAAUUAAACAGAAAGCAGAAUUAUCUGCCCCCACCCCACCUGCUAAAAUGUAGCAGCAGGUCAUGAGAGAUUAGUCUUGGGAGGGAAGGAGAGAGGAAAGGAGGGAAGGAGGGAGGGAAAGGGCGCUGGCUCUGCCCUUUUUUGCAGGGUCGAUGUCUAUGUUGGUGGUGGGUUUCCCAGCCCUCCCUGGGAGUGGCAGGAGGGGCAGAAUGGAAGAAAAAAGGUGAUUUAUAACAUGUAAGGAAAGGGGCAGAUUUUGAAAGCAACAUGAAGCAGUGGGGUGCUGGUGAGUGAGAGCCUUCACGUGGCCCCAGAAAUCCGACCAUGACUUGAACUCAUCCCAAAGCAUGGGGAGGAUUCUGCCCAUCUGCUCUGGGGAGACCCCUCCUGCAAAGCUGAAUUCAGCUCUGCUGACUCCAAACAGCAGGGGGAAUGUGGAGCUGCUGGAGCAAGAAUUGUCCAGCCUGGAGAAGAGAAAGCUCCAGGGAAAAUUUAGAGAGCCCCUUCCAAGGCCUGAUGGGGAUACAAGAGAGAUGGAGACAGACUUUGGACAAGGGACUGGAGGGACAGGACAAGGGGGAAUGGCUUCACACUGACAGAGGGCAGGAUUAGAUGGGAUAUUGGGGAGAAAUUCUUCCCUGUGAGGGUGGUGAGCAGAGGGUGCCCAGAGAAGCUGUGGCUGCCCCAUCCCUGGGAGUGUCGGAGGCCAGGUUGGACAGAGCUUGGAGCAGCCUGGGACAGUGCAAGGUGUCCCUCCCCAUGGCAGGGGGUGGCACUGGAUGAGAUUUAAGAUCCCUUCCAGUACAAACUGUUCCAGGAUUUUGAGUGUGAUACUGUGUUCAGAAGGCAAACUCUGGUGCUUUUGAAAAUCCUGUGCCUAUUUUCCUUCCAGUCUCAGAUGGGUCAGUGGCUUGGAACAACUUUCCUGCAGAAUGACGGGGUGACCAACCAGGUUCAGUGGCAGUGGACAUACUCCAGGGCCCAGAUGGCUGUCAGGGAUGCCAAGGGUGAAAGUCAAAUAUUGAAUGGCACAUCCCAAAUCCUGCAAACUCCUUUGUGAUGUCCUGUCCAGGUUACAGUAAAUCCCCUGAUGUGCAUAGGGACUUUGGGGUGGAUUAAUGAGUGGAAAACCUUUCCUUAGUGGGUGUUUGCUGGGGCAAAUAGCCUGUGACCAUUUAUGGUCUAGACAUCCCACUUGGUACAGGAAUGCUGGGAAUCUGGGAUAAUUUAAUUAUGUUGCAUUUGAGAAUUAUGGAGCAAUCAAGAUGAAAAAAAAAAAUGGAAACGUCCUUUUAAAAUAAAAUGAAUGCUCAAUGUUAACAGCCCCAAUUUUUCACCAAAAGCUUCCUUUUUCAAGCAGAAAUCCUUAUUGAUAAGUCAGUGCUUUCUUGAUAAAGCCCUUAGCUAUAACUUUCUUUAAAGCCACUGGUGUAGAAAAAGCCUCAAAUGUUGAAAAAGGAUCAAACUGAGCCCUUCAAAAUGCUUAACUUUCAUAUUAUGAUCUCCUUGUUUUCCCCACAAAAGGAAAAAAAUUCAUCUCUAAGCCAACUACUCGUUUCCUUCUGUCCAGCUCCAAACUCUCCCAUGCUUGAAAAACCUGUUCUCUUCCCACAGAGCAUUUUAAUUCCAUCAGGCCAGCAUUUCCCAAAAUAAUGAACAUUUCUAGGGGCUGUUAAGCUGGUCUCCUAUUUAAAUUUACAUCUCUUCAUGAGAUUUCCUCAUCUCUUCUUUCCUCUUCUCACUCAGUCAUUUAUAUUAGAAGUAUCCAGAUAGUCUUUAUAACCCCUUACAUACAAAUUAUCUGUAAUUUAUUAAGGAUUAAGGUUUACCUAAACCCCACUACUUUAGUCACAUAUCCAUUACAUCACUCUGAAUUUGUCUUAGAAGUGCUUUUUGGCUUGCUGAGCUCCCCGUGGGAGGAAGCUUAAGUUCAGACCAAAUUUAUCGUGUCCCAAAUUCCUGGUGGGAAAGAACCAAUGUCGUCACUCAAGAUUUCCUGCAGAUCCCUGUGAUUUAACAGGGCUUAAAGACCACUACUAAAAAUUCCCAGGAAUUUGUUGUGCAAGUGAAAUCCUGACCCAGUGAUGUUUGUAGAUAAAUUCUAGUUGGUGGCUCAGGAGUGGGUUUUGAAGCAAUGCACAUCCUUUGGAGUCAGGAGGGAUGCAAUGCUGUUCCAAAUUAGAGUGGACUGUUUUGGAAGGGACAUGUCCAGGGAUCCUGGCUCUGGAACUCUCCUCUUCCCUCCCUUGCAGGGCUUUGGCCCUCCUGCCCUGAUCCUCACUCCUUUUCCUCUUCUCUCUUUAAACAGCAGCUCUGGGUCAUUGGUUUUCACCCUCAUUCCUCAGAGCUGCUCAACCAGUCCUCCCACCUGGGAGGCAAGUGGGAACAAAAAAGUUUUGUGUGUCUUCCAGGGGACUGUCAAAGUCCCAUGGCAUAAAUAUUAUUUGCCUGAAAGGGAAAAGGACUCUAGAAAAAAAAGGCAUAUAAAUAUUUUCUCCUUCCUCUCUUACACUUUAUUUUUGUUCCUUGAUGUGUUUGUUGUACAAGCCUGGUGUUCACUUACUGCUUGUCUUACCGAGGGGUCUUGAAGUGUUUCCCUCUUUCCUUGACUUUUUUGUUUGCUUAUUCUUUCAGUGUCCUUGGAUGAGCAAAAGGUGAAAAAUCCUCUGGCUUUUGAAAUGCUUCUGCAGGCUAGGGUGGACAGAUCUUGGAGUAAUCUGGUCUAGUAGAAGGUGUCCCUGCCCAUGGUAGGGGGUGGAACUGGAUGGGCUAUAAGGCCCCUUUCAACCCAAACCACUCUCAGGGAUGCUUGGGGAGGCUGGCAAAGAGUUUCAGUGUUUCAAGAGCUAUUCUCUCAGGUUCACUGCUCACCUUGAUUUUGAUGCCGCAGCUGGAUGUUGUAAUUAGGAGGUGUUGAUUGAGACAUCCUAAUAUUGAGGACAGAUAAUACAGGGUUUAGAGAAAUAACUUUCAGGUUGUUUCCUGCAUUUCCACUGGUCCUUGUGCUGUUCCAGGCACAUUUUCUGAUUUUUUCCCAUGGGCACCAAAGAGUGGAAAGCAAUUGUGAGCAAUAGCUGGUUUUGUCUUUUCAUUCUCUCACCUUCUUGUACAUGUGAAGGCUGUCUGCUUCCUCUGUGCUCCUCCUCUGAAGAGGGAUUUGCUGAUUUGUUUGUUUGGGUUUGUGUUGUCUCAGUGCUUGGCAUAGAGAGUCUCUAAAGCUUUAUGGGUUCUACAAGAAAUACCAUAACUCAUAGUGCUACUAAUGCUUAUGUGGCUCCAAGAACUGGGAGAAGAACACCUUUCUGCCUCGAGCUAAGCAAUGUUGUAACAAGUUAUGGCAAAAUCACUGCAGAAAUGCAGGUGAUUCUGCAGCAGAAAUGUCAUUCUGGAAUCUCUACUCUCAUUUGUGUUCUCCUCCAUUUUUCUGCUCUUUUCCUGUCUUUUUUUGUCUUGUUUGCUCCACAUCCCCUGCCAGCAAAGCAGCAAAAUAAAUCAGACCUGGUGGUGUUUCCUUUCUCCUCAAGAAGGGAUGUUAAACCUCCUGCAAACUGCCAGUUUGACUCAAAGGCAGGAGAACUUGGGGUGCUGCAUUUAAACUACCAGAGGGCAGGGUUAGGUGGGAUAUAGGGGAGAAAUUCUUCCCUGUGAGGGUGGGCAUACCCUGGCACAGGCUGCCCAGAGAAGCUGUGGCUGGGCCUUCCCCAGAAGUGUCCAAGGCCAGACUGGACAGGGCUUGGAGCAACCUGGGAUAAUGGAAGGUGUCCCUGCCCAGGGGAGGUGAUGAAACUGGAUGGGCUUUAGUGUUUCUUCCAAACCAAACCAUUCUACAAUUCUAUGUCACCCCGUAAUUGAGGGAAAUGCUCAACUACAGGUUGACACUAACCUCCUGUGCAAAUCCUCAGGGUGGGUUCAAUAUCACAACAGAAUUUUUUUUUUUUUUUUUUUUUUUUUGUCUCAUGAGACAAAACAGCCAUUGGGGGCUGCUGGAGGUUGGGCACAACUUGUCCCUUGUGUGUGUCACAGCUCAUCUGCACUUUCCAACUUCCAUCUGCCAUAGGGCUGGACUAAAUGUCUCACAGAGCUUAAUUGUUCUUCCACAGCAUGAAAUAAUUCACACCCCAGGGCUUCAUUGUUCCUGUGCACCAAUUUCCCCAAUUCACUCCAGGGCUUCCUGUGGAUUUUGCGGGCACUGUUCAUGGAAACUGAGGAGUGGGGACAGACAGGGCAAGAGGGAGUGACCUUCCCCCUCUCCCUUCCCACUUUCCAAGUCUUUCUCUCUCCAGGCACACAUGUCGGGGCAGUUCACACUGAUCUAGGUGAGGAGCUGGCAGAACAGAAGCUCAAAUCUCAAUUACCUUCCUCCUUGUCCGUUAGCACAGGAUCCUUAUCUCCCUCUGUGUAACUCUCUGUCUUUAAUUAUACGUAGUGAUAAUACUUCACACACUAAGUGCAUUAUUAAGCAAUUCCUAAGACAAGUAGCUUUCUGGAUCCCAAAUUGUGAUUAGAUAUUGGCAAUCAAGCUGCCUUCCACUCUUCCUCCUGGGGCUGGCCUGCCAAAGACAGGCUUGUAUGAGUAGGUGAGACACAAGACCUGAGUGAGAAGGAGAAAUUUAGAUAAGAGACUGCUCAUGGGUAAAAGGUUUAGUUGGUCACACAGGGCUCCAUGAAGCUUGUUCCACAAAUUCAUGUCUGGAUUUGGAGGUUGCCUUGCUGUUCCAGGCUGGCUAGGUGCAGCCAAGUGUCUUCCACAAGUGUUACACAUCCUAAUCCAUCAUUUGAGUUGUGGUGGCCAUGCAACUCUUGCAGCUCUUAGGUUUUGUGGUUUCCCAUGCAACCGCUGCCAUGGCAGAAGGAUGAGAGAGAUGCCUGGCAGCCAGCUUGUGGUGUUGUGUUUGUUGCAGCUUCACACUCUGAAACUGAGGAUCAGUAGAAAUUAGUUUCUUCCAUUUCUUUGCAUAGUUUUUGUUCUGUGGUCCUCUGACCAUGUCAGUUGAGCUCCUCUGCUCCCUCUCAGUAUGUAGAAUCCUUGAACAAUUAGGGUUAGAAGGGACCCUAAAGACCACCCUGUUCCAAGCCGCCUGCCAUGGGCAGGGACUCCUUCCUCUAGAGCAGAUUGUUCCAAGCCUCAUCUUACUAGUGCUGGGAAGAUGAACUGAAGGUUUUGAAACUUGGUGAAGGCUUCAUCAGCACAGAAUACUUUAGUUUUUCUGCUGGAGGUUUGCCUUGCCUUCCUACUUUACCCUUCCCAAGUAUAGUAGGGGAGGGAUGAGGGCCAGCAGAGUGUGAUCAGGCUGGCAGAGGAGCCCCCUGAUAUCCAGAAAUGGGAUGUGACUAGGCUCCAUGGUCAGAGCAUCUCUUGUGGCAGUCUUCCCUCUUUUGCCAACAACAUUUCUUGUGCCAUCUCAAGUUAUCUCAGUGCAGUUCCCUUAUCCAAGUGAUCUCCUACCCUGCAUGCAGGCAUGAGAUCUCUGUGCCGCAAUGGCUAAGGGAUUAUGGAGAUUGCUCCUAAUUCUGCGAAGGAAAAUGCUGCUUGUAAGCAUAAUCGAGAGGGCGGCUUUGGAGCUGAUGACUCUAAGCUCAUGUUUUAGAUGUAUCGUGUUUCACCUCUUUCAAGGCAUUUAAGAGCUUACCAGAAAAAUAAAUGUCAUUGCUCAAUCUGUGGAGUGUCUAUAAUGCAACUUGCUGUGUCAGUCCCUUCCCUCCAAGACACAGUGGAAACAGAUUUAUUUUGCUUUCCAGGCCCUCCAGAGGUCACGGCUGUCCCCACCUUCAGUGCUAAUGCAUAUGAAUGUAUUUGUGUAUGCGUGUAAAGUGCACGUGUCCAUGUACCUGUUAAGAGCAUAUUCAUCCACUCUCCAGAUAUUUCUGGUGAAAGAAGUAUUUAGUCUUAGCUGUUUCUAGGAAAUCAUAAAUCUUAUUUUUGUUAUAUAUGUGCCUCUGUGAUUUGCACAAGGACAGACUGGCUCAGUGUAGCUAAACAGUCUGUCGAGCAAGGUUGUCCCCCGAUCUUAAUAUUCAGUCAUGAUUAGCUCAGUCCUGAUACUUGCACUUGAAUGUGUAGGAGUAGCUUAAAUAACCCCCAAUGUCUAGAGCUUUCUGCCUUGAAAGCUCGAACCCUUGUCACAUCUGACUAUAAAAAAAGGGUAAGAGAUUCUGAAAGAGGGUGGGUCUAGUUAGAUAUAGGGAAGAAAUUCUUCCCUGUGAGGGGGGAGAAGCCCUGGCACAGAGAAGCUGUGGCUGCCCCAUCCCUGGGAGUGUCCAAGACCAGGUUGGGCUUGGAGAAACCUGGGAUAGUGGAAGGUGUCUCUGCCCAUGACAGGGAGUGGGACUGGAUGAGCUUUAAGAUCUCUUCCAACCCAUACCACUCCAGGAUUCUGUGUACUGAGGCUGUCCAAACUUUAGGGACCUACGUAAAUCACUCACAGUGCCUGCAGCUUCAAGUAUUAAACAGGGAUUCAGGGACAAAAAGGGCCAAACCCCUAAAAUUUGAUGCUGAAUUUGCUACUUGAAGAUGAUUUACAGAUUUGGAAGUGAAGACGUCUCUGGCAAAGAUCAGUUAUGUCCCUGAUAAGGCAUUUCUUGCUCUCUUGAGAAUUAAUUUUAAAGUGGGAGAGCCCUGGUCUGGCCAUGUGUUUAUCCCACAGUCAAGACCAAGUCCUGCCAUGCACCUGAGCUCUGUGCACUCCAUGCCCCAGCACCACUCUCUCUGCUCUGUGUCCUGGUGCAGCUUCUCAUUACCUCCCUUAAUGAAGGAGCCGUUUGCCAGCAAGCAAAUCAUCAGGUUUCACACCGCACUUCCCUUUGGGAGGAUAACAUUUGUGAAACAGCAGGGAAGGUGAGAAGACAGACCUCAAAAAGCUAUGCUAAUGUUCCCUGGAGUGCCAACAAUAAUACAUUUUCUGCCUUAAUACCUUGCAUUUUGCAAGUGCAUUUUGUUGUGCCUCUCACAGCAUUCUGCAAACGUUAAUUAAUUACAGUCUCAUUACAUCUUUGCAAGAUCCAUUUAUUUAUAGAUGAAGAACUUUCCAUCCCCAAGCACUCUGGAAUCUUCCUGAAGACAAACAGCAGGCCUGGAGAGACGAGCUUUGCCAUGAAAAUGUUGGAAAUAAACACGAAGUUGUUCUUGUGAGCAACUUUGGGGGUUUGGAAUUCAUUUGGGGUUUGAUUCCUGCUUCUGCGAACCAUGUCAAUUGAAUUCUGCCGUGGUGUAAAUGGACAUGCUUUUUUGGAGAGGAUGAUGAUGGGAUAGGUACCAUUCCCUGUCCAAAGUGAUAUGCUCUCCUAAUGUGCUGUGCACAAAUUAGGAGAUUCAUUUAAACCACAGCUGAAACACCAACAUCCUGGACGGCUGUUUCAUACCUGGUAUGAUAGUCUGUGUGAAAACAUCCUUUUUGUCUCCAUCUCUUGUUUUGCUCUUUGCACUGAAAGGUAUUUGGGAUGAGAAGAGGCCAUUCCUUAUUCUGUGCUUGCACAACAUAGAAAAUAGUUUUGGGUUUGUUUCUCCAUGGCACCAUUUGCUGCUUUAAUCUUCCAGGUUUGAGCAAUGAAUGUGGGGAAUACCAGUUGGAGAAAUUUUGGUUGAUGGUGAGCAGUAAGGCAGGCAGAGGUAAGAACAGGAUUACCUGGGCUGAUUUCAUGUAAUCUCCUUGCCACGUGAGUUUUAAUUCCCACGUCAGCAGGGUUUAUUGAGUUGCACAGCACAGCUGCAUCUGCAAAGUACCCCCCAGCUGUCAGGCUGGGCAUCACUACUGACUUUGGGAACAGGUUUAGCACCCUUGGCUUUCCCACAGCACUCAGGUUGCUCUGGAAGUUAGCUGGCCUUGUAUUACCCUGAUCCCCUCACUGCCCAAGAGUUUGGAUCAUUACAUGGACAUAUUUCUCCAGGCUCUGAGAAGUGCCUGGAGGGAAAGCAAGCUGGGAGAUGCUGGGAUAAAGCCAGCAGCACACCUGGGAGCAGGCUUCCAGCCAGUCAGGGUAGUACCCAGGGCUGUCCCAAGGACUGGGCAGAGCUGAGGGUCUGGCCAUGCCCUCACCACUCUCACAUGCAGUCUGGUUCUUCUCCAGCAACAACAGGCCUCAAUGCAGACACCCUGAGAGGCACCAUAGAGGAGCAAUUAGCUCCUGUGAAAUUUUCUACCAUUAGGAACAAUGGCUGGCUUAGUUCUCAUCUGAUUGAAUUAAUGAUAUUCUAACAAGUGACAUUUUUUCCUUUUAAAUUCUCUCAUUUGGAAGGAAUUGCUUGUCGUAAAUUACACUUAUAAAAAUUAGGCUGGUGUUUUGUAUUGUUUACAACAAGCACUUCAGGGUUAUGGAUGUUACUCAUUGAUUUAUAAUGUUUAAUUCUUCCCCCUUUCUUCCCUCCUCCUUUGAACUGUUCAUAAAUCAAGCAGCCCUGUCAAACCUGUGUCAACAUUUCACUCAGUCUGCAAGUUGCAGGCAAGUUGGGACAGUGGAUCUUACAGAGAAGGCUGACUCUUCUCCUUCACUGUCUCUCCCAUUUUGGUGAAACAAUAAAAAGGUGAGGCUGGCACUUGUCAGUUAUUUCUGAGUCACUUUUCAUUAGGCCUUUUUCAAACACUCCAGAGAACAAUGUUGGAGGCAAGUGAUCCAAACAACUCAUGUUCCCACUUGUGCACUUGUGGGUUAGGGCAGCAGCUGCUGUGGAAUUACACUGGGAGGCUCAACAGGUGUCUGAUGGUCCUGGACCAGAUCCGGAUGAUGUCAGGCAGCCUUAUCCUGGCAGCCUCCCUUCCCCACCAACCUGGGGUCAUCAUUUCAAAAGCCUGGGGACGUGGUUGGAUCUUUUUGAAGGGUUCUCCAAGAACUGAUGGGACUUCCAGGAGUGUCCAAACUUGGGUAGAGUCCCUGGGGAUUUGCAGGUGACCCAGAGCUGGUGCCUGGGAAAACCCCAAGAGAAGGAGAAUUUAAGGGGCGUCAGUGACCGACACAGAAUCUUGGAUUGCGAUGAGCUGGAAGGGACCUCAGAGAGAAUCUAAUUCCAACCCCAGCACUGUGGCUCCAACAUGAGGGUUUCAACAUUGUGCAAGUGGUCUGUGGAGUAAGGGACUGAUACUUGAGGGAAAUUAAUGGAAAUUGGGGGCUGAAGGUCCUCUGAGUGCUUCUGGCAGCAACUUGCUUAGUCAUAGAAUAAAUUAGCUGCCUUAGAAAACUGGGAAAAAACCUUCUUUUCCCCAACAUGCUGCUAAGGAACAGCAGAGGUCUGGAAAAGAAUACCCGAAGAUGUGGGUGCAUUGUAAAAUUCCCUGCAUCAGGUCAAAACUGAGCACUUUCAGCCCUCAGGUCAAAUAUCAGGGAGCUGCUGCGCCUUCAACAUUGAACUGUCAUUGUGAUAAUUCACAGUGUCUGACCUCCAAAAGUCAAAAGGUUGGUAGUGAUGCUCCACAAAAUUCAUCCCACAGGAUGAACACAGAUGUUUCUACUGGGAUUGAAUGUAAAAUGAACAACCGCAUCAGCAGGGAUGGUUGUCCCCUGUUUCUCCUGCCCAUCUGCUCUGUACCGUCAUCAUCCCUGCUUUGGGAGGAGCAAGGCAUCACAUCAAGCCUAAAGUGCCUGCUGGAUGCUGGUGUGUGUGUGUGGAUACCUGGGAUAAUUCCUGCCCACACAAUGCCUACACCAGGCGAUUUUACCAGCUGGCCCCUUUGCUAAGCAGUGGGACUCGCCCAGUUGUAAUAACAAAAGUAAAUAAAUACAUUUUAAUGAUCCAAUGGUGGUAAUUAACAAUGCUGAAAUACAGAUGUCUCCCCAAAGAACUCACAAGGCGGCUCAUUGCAUAAGCUGCCCCAUUAUACGGAUAUGAGUUGAUUAUUAAAAGAAAACAUUUAGCUAAUGCAGAACAGGAUAUUCAUCUGCUAUUACAUAAUGGUAAUAAGCAACUGGAUCCAGGCAGAAAUAGUCUUCCAGCCCUUACUGAAUGCCAGGUGAAGUGCAUUUAUUGCUUCCACUGUGAAAUUGUCCUCCUUGUUUUUCCAAGAAGAGGAGAGAUCUUUCAAGAGAUAAUAAAUAAAUAGACUCUAGUUGCUUUAACAUGAAGCAAGAUGAGUCCUCGGGAUUAGUUUGGAUUAGUCUGUUGCCAGUGGCAUGGAGGUUUGGCACUCAGCCAUUUAUUCACCUAGAAGACGUACAGCUAAUUGGAAAAGCACCUGUGAGGAGAUGUAGCUCACCACCUGCACUUUGCUGAAAUAAAAUGAGCCUACAGAAUUGACUACAUUACCUAUUAAUGUUAUGAAAUCACCCUGAGGCAUUAUUAUUAUUAUUAUUAUUAUUAUUAUUAUUAUUAUUAUUAUUAUUAUUAAUCUCCUCUCCCUCCUCUUCUUCCUGAAACUUUUAUGAAUCAAACUUUGGUCUCUUGCUGUUUCCUUGGAAGCCCCAGGAUUGUGUCACUGUAUCAAGACCAGGACCGCUCUGACUGAAUUGCUUCUCUCUGCAGAGGAAUCCUAGGAAAUUAAUCCUUCUUAAUAGGGAGAUGAAAUGGCCUGACAUUUAAUUCCUUUUUGUCAUGGGACACAGCUUCCUCCUGGUCUCUAUCUUUUUCCCCAAAAGAGUCUGGUGGGAGUGAUUUGAUUGUCCUGCUGGUUGCUGGGAUAACCCAGAGCCUCGUGAUGAUAAAACAACUUCCUGUUGGCUUUUUUGUUGACCCUGGCCAACAGCACAAGGCGGACUUUGCCCAGACACUGUUGGCAGAAGCUGUUGUGAGCUCAGUGUGGUUGGCUGGUUUUGGGGUGGGCAGGUUCCCUGCCUUGCACUGAGCACAUUGGAAAACAGAUUGGUCACAUAUAGGAUGUUGUGAACAAGUUUACAAGCUAAUACUGCUAGAGUCGUUAAGGUCAAUUUGAAAUUGUAACAAGUUGUGUUAUUUAAUUUGUGGUUCCUUAAGUUACCCCUUUCCCUCUUAUCCUGUAUUUGUAUCCCUUUUCUAUCCUGAACAAGUUCACAAGUUAAUACUGUUAGAGUUGUUAGUGUUAAUCUGAAACUGUAACCAGUUGUGUUAUUUAAAUUGUUGUUAAAUCUUUAAGUUACCCCUUUCAGUCUUACUCUGUAUUUGUAUCCUUUUUCCAUCAUACUCUGUAUUUGUACCCCUUUCCGUCUUGCCCCGGAGUUGUAUCCCCUUCCAUGGGGAACCACUUCCCAUGCUCCCAGAAGGACUUGCACCCAAGCUGAAUUUUAAUGAGAGUCUGAUGGUACUGUAUCAACCCUCUCAAAAACAACAAAGCAACACAUAAACUGACUUUAACCCAGCAGAACCACACGAGAUCACCCACCAGUGACCAGAGCUGGAUUCCAUUCUGUCACCAUAAUUUCAAUGGCACUCAGCUUAGAUGACACUCCUAGACUACAAGCCACCAGUGUCUUCCUAAGGACUCUCAUGAGGACAGAAGCCCCAGCUGUGCUGAGAGACAAAGCUGAACUCCUCCUCCUCAGUGUCGUCCUGUGCUCGGGCUCCCCACCCAGAGCUGUUUUUAAUAAAGGCCUUCUAAAAGA